AAGAACCACUGCUGUUUCCCUGUCUGACACUAAGCUACUACUACAUGGGUCCUUCGUGCAUUGUUUCAAAAGAUUGAUGCUCGGCAGACAGGAAUUGCAAACUUGUGACAGUUUUCUUUAAAAAUCAAGGACCGUAUUCAUUCUUGCAUCUUAGCCAGAAAUCACUAUACCAGGCAAAGUAUAAUCCAAGAGGCACCCGACGCUGGGGCUCCUCCUGGUGGUUACACCCUCCGCCGCUUCAGUUAAGCCUGGAACCAUAUACCAUGACUUCUCCUGGGAUAACUGAACUGGGACCUUCUCUGACCAAUUUGUAAAUGCUUCGGCUGGCAAACAAACAUCGAAAACUUCGGAGACUUCUAGAAAUGUUGUCAGCUCGCGGCUCUGAUCCAGCUGCACCACUGGGUGGUUUUGCCUUGUCCUAAUCCUGGGUGACCCAAAAUGAGUUUGGUGACAUCGGCAAAGCAAUCGGCAAGGAACUGCUUGGCCUCCAGAAGACACAAAAAGAGGAAAAGGCAAGGGGACUGGAAUGGAAUGUGGACAC